CAGGUUAAAUUCUAGGAACAAUCAGAAACUAAUAUCAAAUACUCUUUUUCGGCUCCAAAAUCGUUUUAGGGUCCAGAAAGGAUCGCAAUCAAAUUUCAAGAAUGUGUUUACUCUCCAAAAUCAAGGCGGGAAGUCUUCAUGUUUCUCACCGCCAAAACCAUAUCAAAUCGAUUCGAGAAAGUGUGAAAGCGAAUCAGCUGUACUACAGGGGUUCUUCUACCAAAAUCGUUCUUUAUUCAAUUCAUUAUGGAAGGAGAAAACACAUUGAUUGAAGAUGUGCCUAUAUUGGAAAUGGAGGAGGAGGACCAAUAUGAUGGAUCUGAUCUAGAUGAUUCAGAACAUGAAGACAGAUAUGAUUACACUUCUAGUGAUUCCGAUAGCAACAACGAGACUAGAAAGAAAACAAGGAAGAGGGGAUUGACUCGAUUGCCAAAGUUACGAACCGAACAUACCAAUUCUGGUGGAAGAAAAAAACGUGUAAAAUUUGAUGAAUUUGGAAGGUUUGCAGGGAAGUAUAGAUCACAACUACCUAGUUAUCUGGGAGACUUAGUACGGGAGAGGGUAGGAGUUAGUGUUUUCAACUGGAAGAAGGUAACAAAAGAAGUCAAGGAAAAACUAUGGGAAGAAAUAACGCGUUUUUAUGAAAUUGAAGAUAGUCGAAGAAAAUAUAUAAUGAAUCAGCUUGGUAUCCUUCUACGGAAUUUUAGAAGAAAAUUGUACGCAAAGUACAUAAAGCCCUACUUAGGGAAUACCACCAAGCUUAAAAGAAUUCCUAAACGAUAUCGUACAAUAAUCCUUAGCCAAGAUCAUUGGGACAAGUUCGUUGAACACACAGUCUAAACAAUUCAAGGUUAAAUUCCUUCUUUUUUUCAUUAUCACUUUUAUUUUAUAGUUUCUCAAGGUAUAAAAUACUUAUAAGAUCCGUGAAAUUUAUAUUUUGGAAGGAUAUUUCGACAAAGAUGAUAGUAGCACGUUCGAAGUCGAAUUAUAAUCACCGGAUGGGACGAGGAGGAUAUACGGCCCUAAGAGAGAAAUUGGUAAAUAAUAAAGUACUUGCCAAAGAUGAAAUGCCACCCCGGUCAUUAAUGUGCGACUACAAAUUCAUAUCUAAAAACAAAUACUCAUUCACCAAAACUCCCAGAGACAAUGAAGACAAUGAAGUGCAUUCUACAAUAUCCAAAUAACAGAAGUAAUGUUGCUUUUGGUACCGUUUACAUAUCUUCGGAAAGACAAACCAUUCAUGGAGUUCCACUUCAAGACGACUGUUAUAAAGUAUCAAUUGAUGAAGUGAUAAAGGGAGCUGCAUUUUUACCAUAUCAAAACGGUGAUAUCAAAACAGUUGAGGAGGCAUAUAAAACUUUUGUUGCAUGGCCAAAAUACCUUGUCAAAUGUGAUGAAAAGGUACCACGUAUGAGAUCAACUCAUGAUGAUGCAUGUAAAAGCUCCAAGAAGCAAAAAAAAAGUUUUAUAAUGAGAGAUAGCAUUGGCAAGCAUACAAGGAGCACUUUCAACAAGACCGAACAAAUGUAGUUUUUGGUUUAUGCCUUUUUUCCUAUCUUUAGAAAAUUUAAGUAAACUUGUUUUCACUAAAAGGAUUUUUACCUUUUAACUAGGGAAAUUAUAUAUGGGAAUUUUCAAUUGAAUUAUUAUUAAUCUUGAUAUUUUUUUGUCGUU